rnacentral:rRNA from 1 species
UGGGGGCAACCCUGAUCCAGCAAUACCGCGUGUGUGAAGAAGGCCUUAGGGUUGUAAAGCACUUUCAGCGGGGAAGAAAGGCCGAAGUUUAAUAAACUUCGGAGUUGACGUUACCCGCAGAAGAAGCACUGGCUAACUCUGUGCCAGCAGCCGCGGUAAUACAGAGAGUGCGAGCGUUAAUCGGAAUUACUGGGCGUAAAGCGCACGUAGGUGGAUGCUUAAGUCGAAUGUGAAAGCCCCGGGCUCAACCUGGGAACUGCAUUCGAUACUGGGCAUCUAGAGUAUAGUAGAGGGAAGUGGAAUUUCAGGUGUAGCGGUGAAAUGCGUAGAUAUCUGAAGGAACACCAGUGGCGAAGGCGGCUUCCUGGACUAAUACUGACACUGAGGUGCGAAAGCGUGGGGAGCAAACAGGAUUAGAGACCCUGGUAGUCCACGCCGUCAACGAUGAGAACUAGCUGUUGGGAGGGUUACCUCUAAGUAGCGAAGCUAACGCGUUAAGUUCUCCGCCUGGGGAGUACGGCCGCAAGGUUAAAACUCAAAGGAAUUGACGGGG